CAGCUAUAAACUGCUCAGAAGUCCGCAGACUCGUUGAGGAGGGGGCUCACCUUUCACAGACACAGCGUCGUUUCAAAGAGAAUAAGAACAACAGUCAGAAGUUAAAAACCUGACCGAGCCCCGCAGAGUUGUUCUUCACUUAUUUAAAUGGUGUUGGGCACUCGUUGACGAUUCAGAAAAUGCCUUGACCAGUCUGCACCCAGCUACCUCCAGACCCUCAUCUCUCCCUACACCCCCACUCGACCUCUCCGCUCCGCCUACACUAGAAGACUGGCUCUACCUCCUCUACGCUCCCCUGCCUCCAGAGCCCGCUCCUUCUCCACCCUCGCCC